rnacentral:rRNA from 1 species
UACGUAGGGGGCUAGCGUUGUCCGGAAUCAUUGGGCGUAAAGCGCACGUAGGCGGCCUCAUAAGUCGGAUGUGAAAUCCCUCGGCUCAACCGAGGAAGUGCAUCCGAAACUGCGAGGCUCGAGUAUGGAAGAGGGUCGCAGAAUUCCCGGUGUAGCGGUGAAAUGCGUAGAUAUCGGGAGGAACAUCAGUGGCGAAGGCGGCCCUCUGGUCCAGUACUGACACUCAAGUGCGAAAGCGUGGGGAGCAAACAGG